rnacentral:rRNA from 1 species
GGGGAAUUUUCCGCAAUGGGCGAAAGCCUGACGGAGCAAUACCGCGUGAGGGAGGAAGGCUCUUGGGUCGUAAACCUCUUUUCUCAGGGAAGAACACAAUGACGGUACYUGAGGAAUAAGCAUCGGCUAACUCCGUGCCAGCAGCCGCGGUAAUACGGAGGAUGCAAGCGUUAUCCGGAAUGAUUGGGCGUAAAGCGUCCGCAGGUGGCAAUGUAAGUCUGCUGUUAAAGAGUCUAGCUCAACUAGAUAAAAGCAGUGGAAACUACAUAGCUAGAGUACGUUCGGGGCAGAGGGAAUUCCUGGUGUAGCGGUGAAAUGCGUAGAGAUCAGGAAGAACACCGGUGGCGAAGGCGCUCUGCUAGGCCGUAACUGACACUGAGGGACGAAAGCUAGGGGAGCGAAUGGGAUUAGAUACCCCAGUAGUCCUAGCCGUAAACGAUGGAUACUAGGCGUGGCUUGUAUCGACCCGAGCCGUGCCGUAGCUAACGCGUUAAGUAUCCCGCCUGGGGAGUACGCCGGCAACGGUGAAACUCAAAGGAAUUGACGGGGGCCCGCACAAGCGGUGGAGUAUGUGGUUUAAUUCGAUGCAACGCGAAGAACCUUACCAAGGCUUGACAUGUCGCGAAUCUCGAUGAAAGUUGAGAGUGCCUUCGGGAACGCGAACACAGGUGGUGCAUGGCUGUCGUCAGCUCGUGUCGUGAGAUGUUGGGUUAAGUCCCGCAACGAGCGCAACCCUCGUUUUUAGUUGCCAGCAUUAAGUUGGGCACUCUAGAGAGACUGCCGGUGACAAACCGGAGGAAGGUGGGGAUGACGUCAAGUCAGCAUGCCCCUUACGCCUUGGGCUACACACGUACUACAAUGCUUUGGACAGAGGGCAGCAAGCUAGUGAUAGCAAGCAAAUCCCACAAACCAAAGCUCAGUUCAGAUCGCAGGCUGCAACUCGCCUGCGUGAAGUCGGAAUCGCUAGUAAUUGCAGGUCAGCAUACUGCAGUGAAUUCGUUCCCGGGCCUUGUACACACCGCCCGUCACACCAUGGAAGCUGGUAGUGCCCGAAGUCAUUACUCCAACCUUUCGGGGGGGAGGAUGCCUAAGGCAGGACUGGUGACUGGGGUGAAGUCGUAACAAGGUAGCCGUACCGGAAGGUGUGGCUGGAUCACCUCCUUUAUAGGGAGACCUACACCCCUUACAUAUCGAAAAGCAAACAGUUAAAUAGAUAGUAAGUUGGUUUUACCUAGGUCGGUCGCAGAGAUUUGCUAGAAGUAGAAAGCUUUCAAACUAUGAUGAAGGUUCGUUUAUGGGCUAUUAGCUCAGGUGGUUAGAGCGCACCCCUGAUAAGGGUGAGGUCCCUGGUUCGAGUCCAGGAUGGCCCACCUGAAAGUAAUUGCUAAUUCGUAAUUAGAGACGAGUUAAGAGUUAUGAGUUAAGAAUUAUAAUCUGGGGGUUUAGCUCAGUUGGUAGAGCGCCUGCUUUGCAAGCAGGAUGUCAGCGGUUCGAGUCCGCUAACCUCCACCUGAAGGGGAAGAGCCAGCGUCGAACAGACAUAUUGUGAGAAAUCAGCAACAUGACUUACUUAUAUUAUUGAGUCAGACUGCUGAGAUUAUUCUCAGCCAGAACCUUGAAAACUGCAUAGUUACGCGAAAUUAGCAGGCAGACACAGACAUUCUGUAAUGGAUAGGAUUGUGAAUGCUUUAAUUAAAGACCAAAUAUUUAGAGAGUGGUCAAGGGAAUAAGGGCUAACGGUGGAUACCUAGGCACACAGAG